GGCAUCCCAUUUAAGACUGAGUUACAAAGUCUCUCCCUCUGUAAACAUUGUCCAAAGGUGGGUCUCUCUGUUCGUUCUCAUCUACUACAGUGGGAAGCUUCUCCGAUUAUGGCCACCUCAACUCCUGUGUGAAGAGAAUGUGUCGUCUCAGCUUCCACCCCAGCACUGCCAAGGUCUGUGAGCGCUGAUGAGAUACACUAACCUAACUGCAUUGACUCUUCCUCUUGCCAUAGAGAAACAGAAAGGAGAACAUCACUGAAGAUGAUCAGUCAUCAUGAGUCCGGUGGCUCAGAGUCAGGAGGUAUAAGUUUGCAGAAUGAAGAGAAGCAUGUCUUCUGCUGCUAGGAGCCGGCUGCUGGUUCUUGGGGCCAGUCUCCUUGGCAACUGCCCACUGCCUUGACCCAGUCACCUACAGCAGCAAUUCACGCUGCAUUUGGUGACAGGUUGAGGAUGCUCACUGACAACUGAAGAGUCCAUCUGACUAACAGGGAUGGCUGACCAUGUGAAGGUAUUGAAAGCAGCAUGAGGCCGCCCUGCCACCUGGGGAUGGAGAGAUGCCAUUAUCAGCAGGUGAUAAGGAUGAAGCUUUUGGAUCUCCCAGGACUUAGGGACAGUCCGAGACCAACGCACAUCUGCCAGGCUCAACCCAGUGGAGGACUACAUUCCAGGGAGACAGACUACUCUGUGGAGUGCUCGUGCUGUGUUAUAUUCUGCUGCUUCAUAGCACAACCAUAACAAAUUACCAUGAAAUCAACAGCUUCCAGCAGCAUCAACUAUUUCCUCAGGGCUCUGAAGCAAAGAAGACUGGAAUCAAAGUGCUGGCAGGUCUCUGCUCACUCCAAGGACCUCUAGGCUGCUUUCUUCCUGCCUCUGCUGGAUGCCCAUCAUUCUUAGCUUAUGGUGAUACCCUCCAAUCUCUGACUCCAUCUAAACUGGGCCUUCUCUCUCCCUGUCUUGUGUUUCUCUGGGGAAUGUUUCUCAUUUGGGACACUCUGCUCAGUUUUGUCACCCCCACACACACAACCCAUGCGAUGCUGUAGAAGAACUGUUCAACUUGCUAGCUGUUCAAACUCUUAGAUUUGAAAACGCAGGAUUCAGUUAACACUCAGUUCCACUGAGUCAACAUUAUGGAGUACAUGUGAUCCUCAGUCUCAUUUGCCACUGUCCAGACCUCAAAACCAAAAGAUGACAGACCUGGGGCUAAGUUGCAAAUUGGAGCUGACCCAGAGAACUUGAUGUAAAGCCACAAUGCCUUGGCAGGGAAUUGCUACCAAGAAGGCCCCUUGAACACACCUCGGUUCCACCAAGGAUUUCUCAGACACCCUCAGCACCUUUAGCAAGAGAAAACUGAUUAAAAAUGUGUGCUUUCUAAUUGUUGGAAUGCUGUUUAAUGCAAGAGAAAAAUCAGUUGUCUGCAUCCAGAUAUCCAUCUAUUCAUGCUCUCCGUCCAGCGCUUCCCACAGGGAGUCUUCACUGACCCCGUUUCCUGGAUGUGAAAAGAUGAGUCCUUCAUCACUUUUCCUGAGGAAGCUGAGGAAGAGCAGGACAGGUGACCAGUGUGGCAGUGUGUCUGUGCAUCAUAGACUUUCUCCUGUGGAUGGCAACCCACCAGGCAAAUGCAUGAAAAAUGGAGCCACACCUACCAAGCCCCCAUCACAACCCUUCAUAGCACCCACAGUGUUCAUCCUCAUCCCAGAGCUUAACAUUGUGUGCCCUUAACAGCACAAACCAGAACGUUCUAGAAAGGCCUGACCACAAAUCCUCCCCAGUCUAUCCCAUGAACCCCACAUCUGAUCCUUCUUGGAUGCAGGACACCAACUCCUGGCUAGUCCAUGAAUCCCAAAAACAAGUCCACAAUUUUCUUUGAGACCAGCUGUGAUGAGUGUCCUUGGUUAUCAAAAUGACUACAUCUGCGGUUAACUAAAACAUGUGAGAGGUUUUUUUUUCUUAGUUUUAAGUGGGAAGCUCUACUUCUAACCUGGACCUUUUAAGUGGGAAGGCAUACCUUUAAUCUGGGUCCCACCUUCUGCUGAAGCCUGUAUAAGGACAUGGAAGAAGGAAGCUUUUGUUUUUUGAUGGCUUUCUCUCACCCUCACUAGCAAGUCAACUCCUUCUCUGAUGUUAGAGCCUAUUUCUUGGGGAUCCUGGCACGUACUGAAGACCAGCUGAGACAUCCAUCCUCGGGGACUAAGGGCUCUUGAACCUUCCAUUUAUAGAUGGUUAUUGAUAGAUUAUCAGGACCACAGCCUGUGAGUCCUUCUUAUAAGAGAGACAAAGAUUCAUUCUAUAAUUUCUGUUACUCUAAAGAUCUCUGAAUAAUAUACCAGGAAGCCCCAACUUUCUUGCCACCAUGAGGCCACACCAUAGUCACUUUGGUCACUGUGUUCUCAAUGAUGACUCUGCAUCAAGCUGCAUGGUGGAUGAUGUCUUUCAGCCACAAGAUGUGAGGAUCUUUGCUUUGUAGUAGGGUUUUCUGUAGUAGCAUCUCCUCUUACCAGUGAAUGUGUUAGUGGCCACACCCCUUUGGGCGUGGCAUCAGAUGCAGCCCUGACGGGAAGGUGGAGAUGCAAGGGGAGCAGUCACUCUCCACUCUCCUUGGGUAGCAAAGAGCUUCUGAAGAGCAGAGACUGCAUCUUCUGGAGCAGGGAUGCAAUGGUGGUUCUUUACUCUUAUCUGUGGAAGUUGUUCCCCAAUAAAACACCCAUUUAUCACUUA